AGAGUUUGAUCCUGGCUCAGAUGAACGCUGGCGGCGUGCCUAACACAUGCAAGUCGAGCGUGAACUCUCGGAACGAAACUUCGGUCUAGGGAAGAGAGGGAAAGCGGCGGACGGGUGAGUAACGCGUAGGUAACCUGCCCCAUACAUAGGGAUAGCCUAGGGAAACCUGGAUUAAUACCUAAUAAUGCGAAGAGAUCACAUGGUUUUUUCGCCAAAGAUUCAUCGGUACGGGAUGGACCUGCGUCUGAUUAGCUAGUUGGUGGGGUAACGGCCUACCAAGGCAACGAUCAGUAGCCGACCUGAGAGGGUAAUCGGCCACAUUGGAACUGAGACACGGUCCAAACUCCUACGGGAGGCAGCAGUGGGGAAUAUUGCACAAUGGGCGCAAGCCUGAUGCAGCAACGCCGCGUGAGUGAAGAAGGUCUUCGGAUCGUAAAACUCUGUCCUUAGGGAAGAAACAAAUGACGGUACCUAAGGAGGAAGCCCCGGCUAACUACGUGCCAGCAGCCGCGGUAAUACGUAGGGGGCAAGCGUUAUCCGGAAUUAUUGGGCGUAAAGAGUACGUAGGUGGUUUUGUAAGCGUGGGGUGAAAGACCGAAGSUUAAACUUCGGUWAGCCUUUGCGGAACUGCAAGANCUUGAGUGNCAGGAGAGGAAAAGUGGAAUUUCCUAGUGUAGCGGUGAAAUGCGUAGAUAUUAAGGAGGAACAUCAGUGGGSGAAGGCGACUUUCUGGACUGUAACUGACACUGAGGUACGAAAGCAUGGUGGGGAGCAAACAGGAUUAGAUACCCUGGUAGUCCACGCCGUAAACGAUGAGCACUAGGUGUCGGGGUCGCAAGGCUUCGGUGCCGCAGUUAACGCAUUAAGUGCUCCGCCCGGGGAGUACGCACGCAAGUGUGAAACUCAAAGGAAUUGACGGGGACCCGCACAAGCAGCGGAGCAUGUGGUUUAAUUCGAAGCAACGCGAAGAACCUUACCAGGGCUUGACAUCCCUCUGACCGGCCGGUAAUGCGGCCUUCCCUUCGGGGCAGAGGUGACAGGUGGUGCAUGGUUGUCGUCAGCUCGUGUCGUGAGAUGUUGGGUUAAGUCCCGCAACGAGCGCAACCCUUGUCGUUAGUUGCCAUCAUUUAGUUGGGCACUCUAGUGAGACUGCCGGGGACAACUCGGAGGAAGGUGGGGAUGACGUCAAAUCAUCAUGCCCCUUAUGUUCUGGGCUACACACGUGCUACAAUGGCCGGUACAGAGAGAAGCAAUACUGUGAAGUGGAGCAAAACUCUAAAACCGGUCCCAGUUCGGAUUGUAGGCUGCAACUCGCCUACAUGAAGUCGGAGUUGCUAGUAAUCGCGAAUCAGAACGUCGCGGUGAAUGCGUUCCCGGGUCUUGUACACACCGCCCGUCACACCAUGGAAGUUGGGGGCGCCCGAAGUUGGUCACAAAAUCGAUUACCUAAGGCGAAACCAAUGACUGGGGUGAAGUCGUAACAAGGUAACCGUA
rnacentral:rRNA from 1 species